rnacentral:rRNA from 1 species
UACGUAGGGGCCUAGCGUUGUCCGGAUUUAUUGGCGUAAAGAGCUCGUAGGCGGUUCGGCAAGUCGGAUGUGAAAUCUCCACGCCUGCAACGUGGAGGGGCCAUUCGAAACUGCCGUGACUCGAGUCCGGUAGGGGAGUGUGGAAUUCCCGGGUGUAGCGGUGAAAUGCGCAGAUAUCGGGAGGAACACCAGUAGCGAAGGCGGAGCACU